GAGUACUGAUAAAACACAUAAGGUCUCUUAGUUUAGUGUCAUGCAGGAGUGGCCAAAAACGAGUUUAUUUCACUAUUGCAAGAUCAUCUCACUAAAAAAAACGAAAAUAUGUGAGCAAAAUGUAACCAACAAAUCAAUAAUUUAUACUCAAUAACAAACCAAUCAGACUUUGUAGCUCGAUAUAAUAACUUCAAGUGAAACAUUUUAACACAAAAACUUUUUUUUAACAAAACAUAAGAACUAAUACUCCUGACUGACUGAGCGCCCCUCCCCCUGCGCGCGCUUACUCGCACGCGCUGCGCACUCUCCUUUUCUCCCCCUUUCCCCCGCCCAGUGCCAGUUCUCUGCUCCAACCCCCAACACUCGCAGGCGGAACGUGAAGCCAACCCGGAAGUAACAAAACGUUGCAGUACCUGCACUGACCAGAGAGGCUGGUGCUUAGAGUGAGCAAAUUCCCAUAGACUCCCAUGUUAAAAUCCUCAUUUUCAGCCCUCUAAUAAACCCCUUUAAUGCCUGGUGCUUAAAGUUUUUAAUUCCUCAAUGGCUGCAUAUUUGAUCCAUGACAACUCUGAGGGGGGUGAAUUUUUUUCUAAGUUUGUAAUUUUUUUUUAAAACAGCAUUUAUUUUCGCUUAAUGAGGGGGCGCGGCCUUUGAUUGACAAGUGACGAUCGCGGUGGAUUCUGGGAGCUGUGCUCCGGUGAUUUGCUGGUCUGCUACAGAUUUAGCGUUAGCAUGAGCGCUAUAUUUCGGUUUUUGUCCUGCUGCCUGCUGUAAACUGUUCUAAUAUGAUCUCUGGGAGUCAUCUGGUGUCUUUUCUCAGGUCUGCUUCUGGUGGUGAGUGGAUUCAAUUAAAGGCAGUAAAAUUCUCAUUUUAACAUAUGAAGAUGACUCCUGCAGAUGUGUGAUUCAAUAAAAAUCAUGUUUAACAUAUGAGUGACCAGUCUCUUCUGUGUAUUCACUGUUUUAGCAUAUAGGUAAGACAAAAGGAAAUGUGGGUCAAAGUCAGAUUGUACAAAAUUUAUUUUUGAAGCAGAUGAAAUGAUUCAAAACAUUACAAACAUUAAUCAUUGAAAAUUCAGAAUUGGUUUCCCUUUAUUCAAAGUAGGGGCCUCUUUAAACAUGUCAUGGUUAGAAAGCAUCAUCUAUGAUAAUACUGUCUGUUUUUAUACAUUUAAAGAACCUAAUAAAUGAUCCUAAAGAGUACAUUUCUAUCUACUGAAAACAAAUUCAGUAAGAAAUGAAAGA